rnacentral:sRNA from 1 species
AGUUGAGCUUGGGGACUGCAGCUGUGGGGAGAUUUCAGUGCAUUGCCUCCCCUGGGUGGUCUUCAUCUUGGAUUUGAAAGUUGAGAGCAGCAUGUUUUGCCCACUGAAACUCAUCCUGCUGCCAGUGUUACUGGAUUAUUCCUUGGGCCUGAAUGACUUGAAUGUUUCCCCCACUGAGCUAACAGUCCAUGUGGGUGAUUCGGCCCUGAUGGGAUGUGUUUUCCAGAGCACAGAAGACAAAUGCAUAUUCAAGAUAGACUGGAUUCUGUCACCAGGAGAGCACGCCAAGGACGAAUAUGUGCUAUACUAUUACUCCAAUCUCAGUGUGCCUAUAGGGCGCUUCCAGAACCGCGUACACUUGAUGGGGGACAUCUUAUGCAAUGAUGGCUCUCUCCUGCUCCAAGAUGUGCAAGAGGCUGACCAGGGAACCUAUACCUGUGAAAUCCGCCUCAAAGGGGAGAGCCAGGUGUUCAAGAAGGCGGUGGUACUGCAUGUGCUUCCAGAGGAGCCCAAAGAGCUCGUGGUCCGUGUGGGUGAAUUGAUUCAGAUGGGAUGUGUUUUCCAGAGCACAGAAGUGAAACACGUGACCAAGGUAGAAUGGAUAUUUUCAGGACGGCGCGCAAAGGAGGAGAUUGUGUUUCGUUACUACCACAAACUCAGGAUGUCUGCGGAGUACUCCCAGAGCUGGGGCCACUUCCAGAAUCGUGUGAACCUGGUGGGGGAAAUUUUCCGCAAUGAUGGUUCCAUCAUGCUUCAAGGAGUGAGGGAGUCAGAUGGAGGAAACUACACCUGCAGUAUCCACCUAGGGAACCUGGUGUUCAAGAAAACCAUUGUGCUGCAUGUCAGCCCGGAAGAGCCUCGAACACUGGUGACCCCGGCAGCCCUGAGGCCUCUGGUCCUGGGUGGUAAUCAGCUGGUGAUCAUCGUGGGAAUUGUCUGUGCCACAAUCCUGCUGCUUCCUGUUCUGAUAUUGAUCGUGAAGAGGACCUGUGGGAAUAGGAGUUCGUUGAAUUCUACAGUCUUGGUGAAGAACACGAAGGAGACUAAUCCGGAGAUAAAAGAAAAACCCUGCCAUUUUGAAAGAUAUGAAGGGGAGGUGAACACACGCUUCAGCCUAAAACACUAAGUAGAUGCAGGCCUAGGCCGUUCUCAUUCCCCCGGGAACCAUAUCUUACCCAUUGUACGUCGCAGCUUGCAGGCCAGUGCUUGGCACAGAGCAGGGACUCAGGAAGCCUUUGUCGCUAAAGUAAGAGCCUCUGCGGAGUACAGUGCAUGGGGCCGGCUGGGCCAGCCCCGGGCAGCAGAUCCUGGUAUUGGGCUGAGGAAAGAGCACUGCGCUUGGAGUCAGAAAGAUCUGCCACCUCCCUGAGUCUCAUUAGCAAAAUGAGGAUAAGGAUAAAGAUGUUAUAGUUGCCCAGCCUGCUUGACAGGGUUGUUGUAAGGCUCACAUAAGGUGAUGAUAUGCAAAUGCUUUGUAAUCUAGGA